CACAGCCUUCUAAUUGUAGAUAGUUUCAUAACAAAAACAGCAUGACAGAUAGGAGUCAUGAGACGGAUAAUGAUAAUACUAAUUUCUAAAACUGGAACAAGGUCUACCUCGUUUCGUACAGGCUGGCUAGCAUUUUGUCUCGUUCCCAAAAGAUCGCUUUGGGCAGAGCGUCAAGAAUCGGCGCCAGUAACGAUUGUUCACGCACGGUUCCAAUAUCUGCAUUAAAAUUUAACCCCAGUGGCAAAUAAAUCGAAAGUUGACUUCCACAUCAUCUGAACUUAAUAAACGAAACGUUGUAACGCUCCAACUGGUAACUUGCUAUCGAUACAGCGAUGAAUUAGCAUAUGUCGAAAGGGGCAUAGCUCGUGACCGUUGAACUCCUGCCACGAAAAAAGCCGACCGUUAGCCAUACAAGCCCUGAAAACAAAUCACAAGAAGCAAUCUCAAUUUAGUACGCCACCCCGCAUUCCACACAUAUCGGUAAACGUGAGCUGGAGUCAAUCAGCAAAAAAAAAGUUAUUUUUCCAGGUUUCAGUAACGUAGGACAGAACGCUAAGACGGCAAUGCAUGUUUCGUCUUACUCCUUAACUCGCUGUUAAAGUGGCAACACUGUAAACAUAGCAUUGUCGAUUUGAAAGUUGGGUCCAAAUGUUAAGGCCCAGUAAUGGAGCUUCUCUUAAAGUACCAUCUCAAGCAUUGUCUGAGUGCAGCCGUGCAUAGAUAUCACCUAGCGGAAGGAAACUACUACGAAAUCAAAAGAGAAAUCGCAAGCAGGACAAGGCUUUGUAAGCCACUUGCGACCAAAGUGGAGUACCAUUUAUUGACCACUAUAGAGGGCUAUUUGAUCUGUUCAUUAGCUCACU